GCCACUUGCCCCACCUGCUCCUCCGGAUCCCCUCGGUAGAAGCAUGGCAAUUUUGCGUCCUGGCCCAGCACCACUGUCACUAAGUCCGAGGUCUCCAGCUCACCCGCGGGGCAUCGGCCUGCAGGGGGCAGACAAAAGCAGUCAGGCUGAGGGGGGCUGCCAGAACCAAGGGACCGCAAUCAAAAUGAUAAUGACAGCAAAGGCAGCCGGAACUGGAGCGGUUUGUGCUUGCGAAGCGCAUUCAGUCCAUUACCUCAUUAGAUCCACACAACAUUCCCAAGAGGUAGGCGUUAUUAUCGCCAUGUAACAGAGAAGGAAGCUGAGAUCCAGAGGGAAGCGGCUUGCCUAAGGCCACAGAGAUGAUUUAUGGAAGACUCACCCUUUUGCAGCCUAGGAUUCUAUUUGAGCAAAGAAGCCCUAACAGGACCAGAAACAUAGCUCCUGCCCUCAAGGAGCUCACAACCUUCCAGGAAAUGGAAUCUCUCUCUGCACAUAGAACCAGGAAACCAGGGACGAAUUUCACAGGAGGCCCAAUCUACCAAGUGGGGUAAAAGUAAACGUGAACGCUUUGGGAAAGAACGGUGAGGAGCAACUGAAAAGGUUGAGAACGUUUGGUGCCUGGAAUGGGGCAUUUGGGGAGGCCGAAGUCCAUCCUGAGUGGCCCUUGAGAACAUUUUUCACAUGGCUUGAAGAUGAGAGGCCUGGAUUCCCAGAGAGAAGGAGAACACUUAUACUCAUCUGAUCACAUAUUUCCAGUUUGGGUGACUACCAGUAACCACCAAGUGACAGCUGGAGAGCCAGAAGAAGGGGUGUGUAUCAAGCCCCUGAAAGAGAGAGAUGAGACCUCUGGCAGACUGGAAUUUCAAAGACAGGUGGAGGCCCAGACCCAGCGCUUUGUGCAUACAAGCUCUCUCUACCACUGAGCCGCUUCCUCAGUCCCCCUUACCUGUCAGUCUUUGCUCAUCUCUCAAACCGGACCUCACAGGCCACGUGCCCCAGGAAGCCCUCUCAGCUCCUCCCACUUGAAAUGAACCUUUCUUGUCGCCUUCCUCAGCUUUCGCCAGUCUCUUUAUUAUAGCUUGUGCACUCAUAAUCUGUGCACAUCUUAUCUCCUUAACUACAUUGUAAGCUUUGAUUCAGGAGCCAUUGAUUGAGGCCUGUGGCGUGACAGCGAUUCAGUAAACUUGCUAAGCCGAGGGAAAGAAAGGAUGGCAGCUGUCUUCCGUGAAGUACUGGAAAGUCGAGCCCCUUGUAUAAUUUUGCCCGGUCAGCCAUGCUAGGGCAGUUCACAACCCCUAAUGCGAACUGAGUGCUUUAUUGACGAAGGCCUGCGUUUCUGAAUAGACCAAUGUCAGUAUGGAGAAGAUGGUGAGGCAGGGUCAGUAGGCAGAGAUCUCAAACCAUCCUGUUACCAUCCUGAACCCGGCUUGUAAUCUGGACUCUAACACUGCCGUAGAGUAGACCCAUCUCUGGACCCCACCUCUCAGCAGCGGUUAUGAUAGUGACCUCUUCUUCAAGGGCUAUUUCCUGCAGGUCAGAGGCAGAUUCAAGGGUCAGGCUAGAUGCCAAAUCUUAAUUUCUCUCCACCUCCGCCUUGGCAAACCCCUUCCCCUCUUCAGGACUCAGGUCCCCACCUAUGCCAGGGGAACAGCCCCACCCCGAUGUUGCUUUGAGAUCCAGUGUGGCAGGGGUGGGGUAGGGCCAGGGGGAUGGGAGAGGGAGCAUCCUGUGUUAUAAUUAUAAUUAUCACACUUUGGAUCCUAUCACAUGCUUUCAGAGGAGCUCUUUCCUUCCCACGGAUUCAUCCCUCUAGGUACAGGAAAUCACAGGAGAAACUGAGGCAUGGGGGUGGGAAGGCAGCUAGAUCACAAAUUAAGCAUCCAGGCUGCUUUGGCAUUUCUAUUCACAAUAUGUUCUUCCCCUCAAAGUGCUACCGGCCAAAAUAUCUCUGAGCUGCAUGGUGGGACCCUAAAUCACUCACCCCAACUUCAGUCAUAGGGAGCACUGAAGGGAAACAGAACUUCUCUGAUGUGGUAUUAAGGUAAUGAGCACACCCACAUCUUCAUGGCUAUGGUUAGGCCCUAGUAAACAACCUUCAAAUGGGGGCUGCAGGUGCCACUGGCCAGAGAGAACAAGGCAGCCAUCCUUGCCUGCAAUUGAGGUAGGGAUUUUCCUUUCCUCAGCUAACAAAUAGUUACCUUCAAGUCCCCUCUAUUCUCUCAUUCCCUUAGUCCUAUAAUGUCUUAUAUGGACCAUACUCCUGAAGAAUAUGCUUUAUACUCAGGCCUUUUCUAUCCUCUUCUGGGAUGAAUCCCAGGGAAGCCGUAUUUCAGGUCAGGCGCUCUACUAAAAUGAUGGUGAUGAAAGCCUUUCGAGACCAAUGCCUAUCUAUAUCCAGAGCUCGAUUCUUUCUUCUGCAUCCACUCCCCAUUCCCCUCGAGCCUCACGACCUACCCUCCCUCCUCCCACCUACAUUCUGAGUUCUAAGAAUGGGAACAAUCCAAGCCAUGGCGGACGGCAUCCUCAGCGCGUGCAUUUGUCUGUGCAACAUCCCUGUGCUUGACUGCAAGCCGUGCAUUCAUUCAACAGACACUCAAUGAAAAUCACUGGGUCAGGCUCAAGGGAGGUGACGGAGACAUAGGACACAUGAUCCCUGCCCUCGAGGGCCCCUCAACCAGGAGACGGACACAUAUAUAUCUGCAACAAAUUACACCUCGCCAUCACGUGUUUCCUCCGUGUGUCUCUGUGUCGCUGAUACACACGGGACUGCCCCUGUCCCCGUCCAUGUGGAUAUUAUCUGCGCGUGUCCAAGCAUCCGCUUGAACUGGUCUCAGUCCCCAUGGAAGGCUGCACACCUGAGCCAAACCGGUUGGAGAGGGUUGUGCCGAAAUUUUUGUUUGUGACAGUGCGGCCUGAGAGUUCACACAGCAGGCUGUGGGGUGCUGACUGACGAGGUAGAAGAAUACCGAUCACUGGACUUGACCCUGUCCCCAGGACUGAGGCUCCAGCAGGUGGCUUCCUCACUUCUACUGGUCCUCCAUAGGAUGCCUCUCCACUUACGGAGAUAUGGAGAGAGACCCCCCACAUACACAACACGGGGGCUCCAGAAGCCCUUCCUACACUGAAAAAUGCCUUUAUCCCCCUCUCCCCCCAAUCUCCAGCUUAAAACCUCGCUAUGCCCAGCAUUGGGAUGAUGGCAUCUUGUUUUCCGAGCUAUCCCAUCUCAAUGUUGAUACGUGCCGCGCUGUUCUUAUCUGCCAAUCAUGCAGUCUCGAUACCCAGCCCAGCUCCUAAUGAGACCACAUUUCCUGGUUGCCUAACAACAUCCCUUCGAGCUCAGGGGGCUGGGCAUGCUUGUUCCUCAAGGGUUCUAACGCGGAGUAAGCCACCCAGGAAAAGAGAGGG